rnacentral:rRNA from 1 species
GAUGAACGCUGGCGGCGUGCUUAACACAUGCAAGUCGAACGGAAAGGCCCAAGCUUGCUUGGGUACUCGAGUGGCGAACGGGUGAGUAACACGUGGGUGAUCUGCCCUGCACUUCGGGAUAAGCCUGGGAAACUGGGUCUAAUACCGGAUAGGACCACAUUUUGGAUGGUGUGGUGGAAAGUUUUUCGGUGUGGGAUGAGCUCGCGGCCUAUCAGCUUGUUGGUGGGGUAAUGGCCUACCAAGGCGUCGACGGGUAGCCGGCCUGAGAGGGUGUACGGCCACAUUGGGACUGAGAGACGGCCCAGACUCCUACGGGAGGCAGCAGUGGGGAAUAUUGCACAAUGGGCGCAAGCCUGAUGCAGCGACGCCGCGUGGGGGAUGACGGCCUUCGGGUUGUAAACUCCUUUCGCUAGGGACGAAGCGCAAGUGACGGUACCUGGAGAAGAAGCACCGGCUAACUACGU